ensembl:lncRNA
AUGGCUGAUUUCUGGGGAAUGGGCUUCUUCCCCAGCCUGGAGGAUUACAGUAUCUUCUACCGUAUCCUCUGGAAUGUGCUGAUCAUAUCAUUAUUCGACUUCGUUAUGGAUUUGUGGAAUCGCAGGGUAGGAGUCAGGGCUGGUGCUGAGCCAGGCGCUGUAACACAGGGAGGGGUGUCAGUAGGGGCCAGGGUCAUCCCAGGCCUGGGCUGGGGGCCCUGCCAGGGAGGAGAGGCCGUGUCCCAGUGGGGCCUGGCCAGGCUCGGCUGGGAGUUCCGGGGCAGGCACGGGCCUGGGCCUGGCUGUGCCCUGGGUUUGUGGGUGCAGCUGAGGCUGCUGGGGAUGCUCCCCUCUCACUUGCUGCUUUCUGUGCCCAUACAGAGAGAGAGACAGAGGAUGUGCCAACACAGAGGCAACCGGGAAAAUUCUAGAGUUUGGGACUUCCGCACGUCUUCACAGCACUCGAGGAUGCACUCCUCAGUGCCCAGGCUACAAGACGAUACCGAUGAAAUAAUCUGUCAGUUCAACAGGAGCCUUGAGACCUUGAUCAGCCGCUUGGAGAUGUAAGACCACUGACAGGGGAUGAGGAUGGGGGCAGGGGCAGGGGCAGGGCUUGGGGACAUGGAAAACUGCAGUGACUCAGGGAAGACACAGGGAAAUCCACAGACUUGCAAUCUGAGAGGCAGUGCCCUGGUAGAAGGGAUUAUCACCGAGGCACAGAGAUGACAGUGUCAUCCUCGCUCUGUGCCCUGCAAGCAGGGACAGAACCUUGAGCACUCACUUGUUGGGACCCCGUGGAAAUGACACAGCCUGACAAUGCUUUUGAGGCGACAGAAGAGCCCUGGGGCCCUCAGGAGUGUUUGGCUCAGAACUGCCCUCCUCUUCCUUCUCUUUCUCCAUUGGAACAGGGUGGUGCUCCUGGGCACUUACAGUACAUUGACGACAUUAUUGUGUGGGGUAAUACAGCAAGCAAUGACCUAAUUUGUUUCCACAAGAGUGGCCUGGAGGAAUGGGCAAGACCUUCAGCACAGUGUCAUAAUCCAGAAGCUAUGAAUCAGCUCAUUGUAAGGGCAUCCAAACCUAAAUAUUCUGCUUCCCAGAAGUACGCUCCUGAGGAACAGAGUUAGUUCAAGGAAAGAGAGAAUGAAGUUUCCAUGUGGACAGUCUUGAAUGUGUGAACACAGAUGCUGGUGUUAGAAAAAUAACUCUAUGUCCAAAUCAGGAAGGAACUGUUUGUCUUGGAUUGCAAGAAGGAGCCCUCAAGAUGAACUCAUCAGACUGUGAACUCUAUUUGAAUGAACUCUGGAAAAAAUGUAAUGCAUAGACUCGAUUCUGAAGAUUUAUUAACUUCCACGAACCAUGAACUGAAAUCUUUGUUUCAUUUUAUAUUCCUUUUUUUCCCCCCUCAGGAUCCACUGUGAUCCUUCUGCAGUGAAAAACUGUAUUUCAGUAAACAAUAUUGGGUUUAUGGUUGUUAACAUUUCACAGAAGACCCCUCUUGCAGAAAGAGCUUUGGAGAACAUUGGGCUAUUUUUUAUGCCCCUUUGACAGUAUACUGUGUGCUGAG